rnacentral:lncRNA from 1 species
AUGGCAGUCCCGGGGAGCAGCUCCGUCGCCUCCGCUCCCCUCUCUCCUACUGCCAGAGCGGAGCCGCGGCCCCGGAGCCCCAGGCGCUCCCGGCCCCGCCCCCCGGCGCUCAUUGGUCCGAGGAGGCCCCCGUGGGCGGAGACUGGCGAGCCGGUAUUAAAAAUCACAUGGGCAGCGCUCAAAAGAGAGGCAGUAGCUUAUUCCGUUGUAUCACUUGCCAGCGGCAGGCUGAGGCUAGGGAGAGCUUGGGGAUGGUUUUCCGUUUUUUACUCACCUCUGGAUCUAACACCCUUUUUAACAAUACAAUUUUUGCCUAGCUUAAAAUCCACCGACAGGACAUCCUUAUUUUCAUUGGAGAAAUGUUGGAGGGUAUGGAGUUAUGUGGAACCCCCCCCCCCACAAGCCAAAGAGAUAAGUAACUAUGCAACCUUUAGAAGACAUCUGAAGGGAAGGACUACUGGAGUCUCUCUGAUGACCACUUACAACUUUCCAGAUGUCUUUGGUGCAUGA